UGCAUCGGCCGGGAAUCGAACCCGCCCCGCGUGGCAGGCGAGCAUUCUACCACUGAACCAAAAGC
rnacentral:tRNA from 1 species